AUGAACCUCAGUUUACUCUGCAGUGCUGCAUUUUGUUUCCUGCAGGCAGGUCCAGUGAGUGCUGGUAUCAUUCAGACUCCCAAAUCAUUGAUCCUAAAGGCAGGACAACAUGUGACAAUCAAAUGUACUCAGGAUAUGAAACAUGACUCCAUGCUUUGGUACCGACAAGAUCCAUGGUUAGAACUAAGAGUAAUCUAGUAUUCCUAUGAUGCUGGAAUCAUUGACAAAGAAGAGGUCUCUAAGGGGUACAAUGUCUCCAGAUCAUGCACAGAGGACUUCACCUUCACUGUGGAAUUGGCCUCUCCCUCCCAGACAUCUGUGUACUUCGGUGCCAGCAGUUCUAC